CAAGAUAUCGUAUAAUAGUUAAUACAAUUACUUUGGGAGUAAUAAAUAUAGGUGCGAUUCCUGUUAUCCUGA
rnacentral:tRNA from 1 species